UAGGGAAUCUUCGGCAAUGGACGAAAGUCUGACCGAGCAACGCCGCGUGAGUGAAGAAGGUUUUCGGAUCGUAAAACUCUGAUGUUAGAGAAGAACAAGGACGUUAGUAACUGAACGUCCCCUGACGGUAUCUAACCAGAAAGCCACGGCUAACUACGUGCCAGCAGCCGCGGUAAUACGUAGGUGGCAAGCGUUGUCCGGCUUUAUUGGGCGUAAAGCGAGCGCAGGUGGUUUCUUAAGCCUGAUGUGAAAGCCCCCGGCUCAACCGGGGAGGGUCAUUGGAAACUGGGAGACUUGAGUGCAGAAGAGGAGAGUGGAAUUCCAUGUGUAGCGGUGAAAUGCGUAGAUAUAUGGAGGAACACCAGUGGCGAAGGCGGCUCUCUGGUCUGUAACUGACGCUGAGGCUCGAAAGCGUGGGGAGCAAACAGG
rnacentral:rRNA from 1 species